UUUCUAAAAACCCAAAUUAAGAAUAUUUGUGUCAUGAUUUUGUACGUAUUAUUUAAAAUACUUUAUUCAUCUCUAUAUAAACAAUUGAUACAGGCAUAGCAUUAAAGAGAAUCUACUAUGGUUUUUUUACAUAAUAAACAACAACAAUCUUUUUUCAUUCUUUAUCAUCACUCAAUAUAAAACUUAAAAACUGUCCUCAUAAAUCCUGUCGUUGAAGUUAUUGGAUUGUGGGUGCAUAAUCUCAGUAGUUGGGAAGUAGUCAUUACAUCAACCAGGCGUCAAAUGAGGCUUUAAUGUAUUUUUUUUUUUUAAUAUUUUUUUUUCUCAAAACUUAUUGAAUUAAUCCAAUAACAAACAAAUCAUUAUCAAAAUAGGUAUAAUAAAUAGACAUACUUCUUCAAUGUAUUCUAUUCAUUAAUGAAAUUUUGUGUCAUAAUUUGAUUACAACAAACAAAUUGAUGAUAAAACCACUUUAUAUACAUGAACCAUGCCUACUAUGCCUUUAAUUUUAAAAUAAGAUUGACGAAACCUCUUUCGCACCUCUUCAUAAUGUAAGUCCGCCGAAACAGUAGUUUGACGAAACCACCAUAAUUCAUAUAAAUCCAUGGUAGCACUUUCUCUCGGGCCUAAUUUUUGUUGAAACGGUGGUUUUUUGUCGAUUUAGUAAUUUUCUCUACUCUAAGUACUGGCAUGUGUGGCGGACAUGGUAAGGUGCCUAAAUGUUGACAUGGUCAUUGUAAAUAUUCAAGGUUUAUUCGCCUGUGAUUUUCUUUCUUUUAUGACAAAUUUCAAUAAAUGGUCUCUUUCAAAAGGAAAUACAAUGUAUACAUUAAAUUUUAGAUUGCGCAGUUUCCUAAAAAAAUUUUAUCUUAAAUUGCUAAUCAAAUAAGAAAUUUUUGCUAUAGCUUUUCCGUCGAAGCCAGGAGGCUAACUUGGGGUUCUUAAAGGGAGAGAAAUUGCUGCUGGCAUGGCCUUUGUGUGUUUUUUUUUUGCCGCAAAGGGUCAACUUGGGCUUAUACUAACUCGGACCAGGUCAACUCGGCCUUCUAUUAGAAACCUAUUUCGGUAUGGAUUGUUAACAUUGUUAUGAAAAAAAUUUAGGAGUGAAUUACUAUAGAAGUAUUCAAAGGUAUGAUCGCAUGACCAACAGAAAUUGAAAAAGUUGGCAGUGAACACGUACGUGUUGUUUGAAAUAAUCUUUGUUAGGAAGAGAUGUCGCGACAAUAAAUGUUGAAUAUUGGUCUUUAACUAGAAUUUUUAUGACAAUAAUGGUACUUGUUUUUUGCACUGUUUGUUCCUUGAAAUUAUCUUUGUUAAGAAGAGAUGUUCAAGUUGAGACAAUAAAUGUUGAAUAGUGAUCUUUAAAUUGAAUCUUUAUGGAAAUAAAUGUAAUUGUUGUUUACACUGUUUGUUCCUUGGCGGCCAAUGCAGUUUGAACAGUACGUUGUGCAAAGAGCAGAUGAAGUGGGCACAGGAAAUUGGCAUUCUAUAAGGAAAUAAUUCUGAAUUUACGACAAAUGUACCCCUAUAUGCUAUAAAUAUAUGCAAGGAAUGCAUUGCUUUCUUCACAGUUAAUACACAUUUGAUCUAAUUACGCACAUGGGAAAUCAAUGUCAACAAACUUGUUUUGAUGCACAGUACAAAUUUAUUCCUUUUACAAUUCAGGGGGUUUUUUUUACGGAAAGGGGAAGAUGCUGGGUGCUGGUAGGGAGGGGAAAGAUAUGUGAAAAAUGUCGAUUUGGGGAAAAUUAUGAGGUUAAUAAUUCUAUAAUAUAUCUUUUUUCCCCUAAAAAACUUUAUCAUCAUGCAAAAAAAUCUUUGUGGUGUGACAUCUUAUUAUGUAUGGUGGUGAAUGGUUUUUAUACUUCCAUUAUUGUAUGAAAUUUAAUGCGGCAUACUAUAGGUGUAAUAGUGUAUCUGUGACACACUUCGGCUCCAUACAAGUCAUUUUCAAUACAAAAUAUAUUACUUUCAUAAAAAUAACCAAGAAAAUGGCAAUAUUUUGUUAGCAACUGAUUUCCAGAAAUAGUACCGUUCAGUACAGGAUAUAGCUAAGAAAAAAAUGGCAACCUCCAUGUUGAGAUUUUGCUUGCAGUUUCCGGCAAUUUUUUUGGUUAUUUUUGGCUGCAAUUGGCAUAAUGUGCUUGUGAAGUUUAAAAGUUAAGUGUAGAUGUGUUUAUGGAGUUAAAGCAUUGGUAUUGGCACAACUAAGGCGUUGGGAGGCACAGAUAUAGCGAAGUGUUCAGGUUUGGCUUUGUUUGUGGAGUUGAAGAGUCGAUAUUGGCAAAUUUGGAACAUUGGUAGAUUGAUAGUAAAGUGUGCGUGUUAUUGGCAAAUGUAGAACAUAGGAAGAUAAGGUUAUAGUGCAUUGUGCAGGCACUCUACCAUGCACUCUUGAUGUAGAGUACUCCUACCCUUUGGAUUAUGCCCAGCAAGUGCACUAUCCCAAUUCCCUAUUCUCAAUAUGUUGGUUCAAUAUAUAUUAGGACCCCAAGAAAGUUCCAUGAGAUUUGUGUUUGUGCAGAGGGAUCAGGACUUCAUGGAAGUGUCAGUCUCAACAUGCUCUGGAAAGUGGAGAAACAAUGCAACAGGUUGCCAGUAUUGUCCACAGUCAUCAAGACAUGGUCACAAUAUCCCACUGCUUAUAGAUGAUCUAAAAAGCCAUUGAAAGUCAUUUUAAUAGUAAAACCCAUGAGGCCUGCUGCUAUAAGGACUAAUGCUAUAUUGACUAGUGUGUGGAUCAUAUUAAUUAAUGGUUGCCUAUGUCAGCUUACCAGUAACUUACUUCCAUAAUGUUAAAACAUUUCAUGUGAUUGUGUUUUGUGUAAUACAACAUUUGUCAUGUCACUUUAAGUAUAGAAUUGCAUUGAACCUAUGCAUUUUAUGAAUUGAUCAACUGUAAUCCUGUCUUUAUAAGUUUUUAAAGUCUUGAUUUCAAGAUAAAUAAACAGUUUUAGUUGUU